UGCGCCCAUAGCUCAACGGUUAGAGCAGCGGACUCAUAAUCCGUUGGUUGCAGGUUCGAAUCCUGCUGGGCGCAUC
rnacentral:tRNA from 1 species